GGCUACUUUGAUGAAGGAUUAGUGGUCCCUCUUCCAAAAGGAGUCUUCCUCACUCAGGGAAACAUCGACUAUCAAAAUGGCUUCCUGGUGAUCGGAGGGAACCUGAAGCUGACUCCUGCAGGGAGGAAGAACGUGGUGAGAGGAUUUGGUAAAAAGACAGAGCUGUGACUGUGAAGAAUCUCAGCAGCUCAGUGAUGAACCCAACUCCUUCCUGUUUCUGAUUUCAGUCUUACAGUUCAGAUACUGUGGCACCAGUAAAGGUACCAGCAGAAAUACUGUUAGCAGUCAGAGCUCCGUAAUCUGCUGCAGGUUUUUAAUUUUACUAGUUUCUGAUUCUUUCUCUGCAAUAAAAAGCUUCAGCAUCA